UACGGAGGAUGCGAGCGUUAUCCGGAUUCAUUGGGUUUAAAGGGUGCGUAGGCGGUUUUUUAAGUCAGUGGUGAAAUCCUGCGGCUCAACCGUAGAACCGCCAUUGAUACUGAGAAACUUGAAUAUAGUUGAGGUAAGCGGAAUGUGUAGUGUAGCGGUGAAAUGCUUAGAUAUUACACAGAACACCGAUUGCGAAGGCAGCUUACCAAGCUACGAUUGACGCUGAGGCACGAAAGCGUGGGGAUCGAACAGG
rnacentral:rRNA from 1 species